UUAACUACUGUCUUCAGAUACGCAGAGGCAUUUAUUACAAGGAGGGAAGGGCUGCCUAUUUCCUUAGACUGCAGGAAGAGAAAGUUCGACUGGAAUCGCAGAGGAAGGCCUGCGUGCCGAGUCUCCCUCAGAGCGCCUGGCAGAGAGGAGGCGCCCUCGUGGAAAAUCCAGGACUGCCCGUCCUUGAGUGGAAGUUCUGGAAGUUGAGGCCUCAACGACCUUUGAGGCAGAGGGUCCUGGUAUCUGUUUUAGACAAGGCCAGAGGUUUUGCCUGGCUGCUGGCAGCAGGGACACUGUGUCUGCAGCUAAGAGGGAUGGUGGGACCCUCGGCCUCCCUGCUCCUCUGCCUGUGCCUCUCACCCAGUGUACCUCAGAAGGAACCACUCCUGCCAGCACCUUGAUUUCAGAUUUCUACCCUCCAGAAUGACUCUUCUGGAGGGUGGAGACCUUCUGAGAAUCGGCUCUUCCAUAAGGCGCUGUCCUCUCAUGCCCCACCUUUGACUCGCCGUUUGGUAGCCUUGCUCUGCUGGACCACGUCCCGGUUGGAGGCACGGAGCAGCAGAGGCCAGAGAGCAGGCUGCCUGGAUGCCCUUGCUCCUGGCUAGCAGACACAGCCUUGGACCACUGUAACCACAGGCCCUGUAGGACCAGCUCAAGCUGACCCAAUCUUAUCGCCAGAAGGUUUUUCAGGGGCAAGCCAAAAAUUUGCAAGUCAUAUAACCAGAGCAUGUGCGGAGGAGAAAAUCUUGAUCUGAAAUGACCCCGGAACCAAAGAUUCUCCACCACGGAACCAAAGGACUGGGAUGCGACGGGAACUUGAGAGUCGGACUCUUAUCAGAAGCGAGGAGUCCCUUGUCAGGGAAGAUCCGGUGUUAAAGCCUCUUCCACACCUUGCCAUAAAUGUUUAAAACCUUGCCAUAAACAUUUAAAGCCUUCCUAUAAAACGUUUAAAGCCCUCCAAUCGAAACUGCCCGCCAGCGCUUCCGUAUGCCAGCCUGUUCUCCCUAAUGUCUUCAAUUUUGCCCCAAACUCUGGAUCAGGGAGACAGAUUUGAGAAUGUUGCCUCCUGUCUCCUUGCUAGUCGACUUCAAAAUAAAGCUUUAUUCUUUUUGCAAAAGCUGAUGCCAUAAUAAUUGGCUCUUUAUGCGCAUCAGGCAAGAGAACGCCAAUGUUGUGCCAUCACGCUGCUCCUGCUCCCCACUUCUGUUUCUCCCGGUUGCUGGACGUGGGCCAUGGCAUUGCUCUGCACUCUGUUAUCUGGAACUCUCCGUCCCUUUGGCUCGCUCCGUCUCUGGCCCAAUGGCCCUCUGUGUGGACUGUGUUUGCCA
rnacentral:lncRNA from 1 species